UACGUAGGAGACGAGCGUUGUCCGGAGUUACUGGGCGUAAAGGGUGCGCAGGUGGCGGCGCGCGUGGGGGGUGAAAUCGCCCGGCUUAACUGGGCGGGGGCCUUCCAGACGGCGUGGCUUGAGCAGCGGAGGGGGACGUGGAAUUCCGGGUGGAGCGGUGGAAUGCGUAGAGAUCCGGAAGAACACCGGUGGCGAAGGCGGCCUGCUGGGCAGUAGCUGACGCUGAGGCGCGACAGCGUGGGGAGCAAACAGG
rnacentral:rRNA from 1 species